GACGAACGCUGGCGGCGUGCUUAACACAUGCAAGUCGAACGGAAAGGCUCGGGUUUUGGGGGGGGCCCGAGUGGUGAACGGGGGAGUAACACGUGAGUAAUCUGCCUAUGACUGGGGGAUAACUGCAGGUAACUGGUGCUAAUACCUGAUGGGAGGUUCGCCUCCAUGGGGGGGGUUGGAAAGUUUCGGCGGAUGGGGGUGGAUUCGGGGUCUAUCAGCUUGUUGGUGGGGUAUGGGCUUACCAAGGGUUUGACGGGUAGCCGGCCUGGGCGGGGCACAGGACACACUAGGGCGGAGCUACGACCCAGACCACAACGGGAGGCAGGAGUGGAGAAGAUUGUAUAAUGGGCGGAGGCCUAGUGUAGCAACGCCGCGCGCGGGAUGACAGCAAUCCGGUUGGAAACCGCAGUCGCCUGUGACGAAGCGAUAAUGACGGUAAUGGGUAAAGAAGCACCGGCUAACUACGUG
rnacentral:rRNA from 1 species